CAUUGAUGUGCAGAAAAACGGCAUGUGUUUUAGAGACCAUGCAUUUCUAACGCCUGUUACCCUCUCACAAGUUUGAAACCGUUCUUCGUUCUUCGUUCUCUCUUUCAUCACACAAUCAUUCAACGUUCAUGUAUUCAGUAACGUAUAUAUACCUACCUUCAUUGUCAUCAUAAUGAACGAGUUUAUCAAACAUGGGUACAGGAAUAAACGAAUAAGGAUUGA